CUUCUCCUGUGCAAUCUAAAGGAUCAGCCAUUUGAAAGAAACAGAGAGGCAAUUAUAGAGUGGAUUUUCAUUGCGGAAAAAAACCUAGAAAGAACCCUAAUAAGCAUGAUCGAUCAUACAGGAAAAAUGGAAAACGAAAUUCAGCAAACCCUACCUCGUUUGCGCUGGGAAAAUAAUGGAAAAUAAUCACAACCGUCACUCACGUUCAGGUUUUAUAGGGUUGAUAAUUUGAAAUUUUAAUUUUGGGCCGAAGGUAAAGAAGCAUCUUCAUUAACAUAAUCAUCCAUUUUCCAAACAAAUAAAAACAUGUGGGAUAAAAGCAACUAGAAAAGGAAGGAAAACAAAGUACAAAAUUCUCAAUUAUGUCUUAAAACACUAUCUUAUUAAAAAUCUUACUAGAAAAAUUCAAUGUAAAAAAAUAUGACUAACGAAAAAUAGUAUAAUGAAUGUUAGUUUAGACCUUUGAGUCAGUGAUUUCACAUAUUCUGUAUAAAAUUUUCAGAUGUUUUAGUUGGAAGAACUUUCCUGAAUAAAUUCGUCAUAUUAUCAUAUCUCAAGGAUGCUUUAAUCAAAGAUCUUAAUAAAACGUAUUCUCGGGUCUUGUGUAAUACUAAUAUUUAUGCAUGGUUAGUUGAUGUGGUUGUUUUAGUUUGUAAUGUUGAAUUCCAUGAAUUGACUUUGCCACAUGUAAGCAAAUAACUUGUUUGUGAUCACCGAUUAUGUAAGUUUGGCAAAUACUAAACAUCUUCAUAACCUACUAGGCCGAGCUUUAAUAUAUUGGGGAAAACAAAUUCACUGUGUCUUUAAGAUAACGAAAGACUUGUUUUAUUCAUUCAAUAUCCUCAUAUGGGUGAAAAAUUAUAUCUUGCUAAUAAAUUAAAAGCGAAAAAUAUUUCAUGUUCAGCAGGGGUGGACCCACAACAAGCUCAAGGGGUUCAGAUGAACCCCCUGAAAAAUAAAAUAUUUCUACUUACCCCCUUGUAUAAUUUUUUUUGAACCCCCUGAGAUUUUAUAUUUGCACUCAGACCCCACUUACUCCUCUCUCACACACUCACGUACUCUGAUACUCACGGCUCACCCUCUCUGAUUCACGCUCACCACUACCAGUCACCACGCCCAGACGCCCUCACCCUCUCGCACCCUCAUCACGGCACGGCGACACCACCGGCCACCACCAUGCCACCACUAGUCCAGUUCUCCUUUCUCUUCUCAAGCUUGAAUAUGAUUUUCCCUAAAUUUGGAAUCCCUAAUUCUCCAUCUUGGCUUGUAAUUCUAAAUCCUAUUCCUACUCCUUCAAACCUCGCUUCGCCUCGCCUUGCCUUUCCUUCGUAUGCAGGUUAAUAAGUCUGUCAAAGGAGUAGUAAGAUCAGGUAUGAAUGGAUGAAGUGCAUCUUGGAAUUCAUGAAGCUUUGUUAUACAUUGUUGGGAUUCAUUAGCGAUAUUGGGGGCAUGGUCUUGACAGCAAUAUGAUAUGUGGCUUUUAAUUGUGAGGAUCUAUGUGAGAAGAAGGUUGAUAGUUUUGCAGGGUUCAUUCUUGGGCAUUUGGCAGAGUUGCAUUAGCUUAAUUGGUUAGUGAAUUUCCAUGGCUGGAAUUGCUCGUGUUAGGAAUUAGCUUUGGCAUUUGAAGAUGGUCUAGACUAUAGUGCUCCUUGGAGGUAUCUCUUUGUCUUGAGUAAUUUAGUACUCUUUUUAGUCAUGUAUAAUAAAUCUGCCCUUCUAUUCUGGUCUAUUGUAGUGGGAUUGAUUAAUUUAAUUUCACUUUUGCUGACAAAAAAAAAGUGUGCAUGUAGUCUUCUUUUAAUUAUAUUUUUAUCGAUUUGCUAAUUUGAAAAUUUUGAACCCCUGAUCCCGGGGUCCUGGA